rnacentral:rRNA from 1 species
UACAGAGGUCUCAAGCGUUGUUCGGAUUCAUUGGGCGUAAAGGGUGUGUAGGUGGCGCCGUAAGUCGGGUGUGAAAUUUCGGAGCUUAACUCCGAAACUGCAUUCGAUACUGCGGUGCUUGAGGACUGGAGAGGAGACUGGAAUUCAUGGUGUAGCAGUGAAAUGCGUAGAGAUCAUGAGGAAGACCAGUGGCGAAGGCGGGUUGCUGGGCCGACACUGACGCUGAGGCGCGAAAGCUAGGGGAGCGAACGGG